ACAAAAACGCCGGUUUGGAUCCAUAUACCACGGACAGAGGGCGGUACACGUCGCAGCGCAGCGUUGGCUUGCGAUGUCCCAAGGCCCCAGAGCUCAGUACCGUGGACCUGACUAUCGACCUGCAAGCUCCAUAGGACCCAUUAAGCAAUGCAACAGCAGCAGCUUGCUCUGCACUGAACAGGAUGCCAUAGCCAGCACAACACCUCAUCUAUACUCAUACUGCACUCGAUUUCUGGCAGCUCAUCUGUUUUCAUAUUCUGAAGCAUGGACACGUUUGCAGAAGGAUGGGUGUCAUCUCUGGGCUGACUCAACUCUGAAAAGAUAGACACAUUCUCUUUUACAUCCUUAUAUCGUAGCUUUGAUGACGUGGCACUAUCAUGGCACGCAGCUCGUCACCGCUCUUAGCACUGAUCGAAGUCGAUACGGAGUUGGUACUAGCCAUGGACUAUCCGGGCAAAAACCGCAAAAGCAGGAGGUCCAAGAAAAGCUACUCAAAGCCACUCCGCAAGUCUCGUAAAUCCCUCAAAUCCAACAAGCCAAAGUGCAAGAAGACUGUUCAGCCACAGACAUGUAUUUAAUGAAUAUUACGAAUAUACAGUGCAAUC